rnacentral:rRNA from 1 species
UACGGAGGGGGCUAGCGUUGUUCGGAAUUACUGGGCGUAAAGCGCGCGUAGGCGGACCUGCAAGUCGGGGGUGAAAGCCCGAGGCUCAACCUCGGAACUGCCUUCGAUACUGCGGGUCUCGAGUCCGGGAGAGGUGAGUGGAAUUCCUAGUGUAGAGGUGAAAUCGUAGAUAUUAGGAAGAACACCAGUGGCGAAGGCGGCUCACUGGUCCGGUACUGACGCUGAGGUGCGAAAGCGUGGGGAGCAAACAGG